UACAGAGGUCCCAAGCGUUGUUCGGAUUCACUGGGCGUAAAGGGUGCGUAGGUGGUGAGGUAAGUCGGAUGUGAAAUCUCCGGGCUCAACCCGGAAAUGGCAUUGGAAACUACCUUGCUGGAGGAUUUGAGGGGGGAUUGGAAUACUUGGUGUAGCAGUGAAAUGCGUAGAUAUCCGGAGGAACACCGGUGGCGAAGGCGGCUUCCUGGACCGACACUGACGCUGAGGCGCGAAAGCUAGGGGAGCAAACGGG
rnacentral:rRNA from 1 species